rnacentral:rRNA from 1 species
AUUGAACGCUGGCGGUAGGCUUAACACAUGCAAGUCGUGCGAGAAAGUAUCUUCGGAUAUGAGUAGAGCGGCGGACGGGUGAGUAACGCGUAGGAAUCUACCUAGUAGAAGGGGAUAGCCCGGGGAAACCCGGAUUAAUACCGUAUACCUCCUUCGGGAGAAAGAAGGCCUCUCUUUGAAGCUUUCGCUAUUAGAUGAGCCUGCGUAAGAUUAGCUUGUUGGUGAGGUAAAGGCUCACCAAGGCGACGAUCUUUAGCUGGUCUGAGAGGACGAUCAGCCACAUUGGGACUGAGACACGGCCCAGACUCCUACGGGAGGCAGCAGUGGGGAAUAUUGGACAAUGGGCGCAAGCCUGAUCCAGCCAUACCGCGUGUGUGAAGAAGGCCUUCGGGUUGUAAAGCACUUUAAGCAGGGAGAAAAAGUUAUAAGUUAAUACCUUAUAACCCUGAUGUUACCUGCAGAAUAAGCACCGGCUAAUUCCGUGCCAGCAGCCGCGGUAAUACGGAAGGUGCAAGCGUUAAUCGGAAUUACUGGGCGUAAAGCGCGCGUAGGUGGUUUGUUAAGUUGGAUGUGAAAGCCCUGGGCUCAACCUAGGAACUGCAUCCAAAACUAACUCACUAGAGUACGAUAGAGGGAGGUAGAAUUCAUAGUGUAGCGGUGGAAUGCGUAGAUAUUAUGAAGAAUACCAGUGGCGAAGGCGGCCUCCUGGAUCUGUACUGACACUGAGGUGCGAAAGCGUGGGUAGCGAACAGGAUUAGAUACCCUGGUAGUCCACGCCGUAAACGAUGACAAACUAGCUGUUGGGAGACUAUGUCUUUCAGUGGCGCAGCUAACGCUUUAAGUUGUCCGCCUGGGGAGUACGGCCGCAAGGCUAAAAACUCAAAAUGAAUUGACGGGGACCCGCACAAGCGGUGGAGCAUGUGGUUUAAUUCGAUGCAAACGCGAAAAAACCUUACCUACUCUUGACAUACUUGGAGGCUCUUGUAAAUGAGAGUGUGCCUUUUGGAACCAAGAUACAGGUGCUGCAUGGCUGUCGUCAGCUCGUGUCGUGAGAUGUUCCGUUAAGUCGGAUAACGAGCGCGAACCCUUACCCUUAUUUGCCAGCGAUUCGGUCGGGAACUAUAAGGGGACUGCCGGUGAUAAACCGGAGGAAAGGUGAGGACGACGUCGAAGUCAUCAUGGCCCUUACGAGUAGGGCUACGCACGUGCUACAAUGGGAGAUACGGACGAACGCGAAGCCGCGAGGUGGUGCUAAUCCUAAAAAGUUCUUUCGUAGUCCGGAUUGGAGUCUGCAACUCGAACUCCAUGAAAGUCGGAAUCGCUAGUAAUCGCGGAUCAGCGUGCCGCGGUGAAAUACGUUCUCGGGUCU